rnacentral:miRNA from 2 species
UCAGAUCUAACUCUUCCAGCUCA